CGCACAUUGCGCCCAUUAGUAUUCUAGUGGGCAUGCCUAUCCGAGCGUCAUUUCAACCCUUAAGCCCUGUUGCUUAGCGUUGGGAAUCUGCGUCUUAGGGCGCAGUUCCUUAAAGUUAGUGGCGGAGUUAUAGCACACUCUUAAGCGUAGUAGUUUAUGCCUCGCUUCUGGAGUAGCUGUAGCUGCCGGCCGUAAAACCCCUAUACUUCUAGUGGUUGACCUCGGAUUAGGUAGGAAUACCCGCUGAACUUAA
rnacentral:misc_RNA from 1 species